rnacentral:rRNA from 1 species
GACGAACGCUGGCGGCGUGCCUAACACAUGCAAGUCGAGCGGGGAACGGAUGGUAGCUUGCUACUGUUUGUUUCUAGCGGCGGACGGGUGAGUAACGCGUGAGCAACCUGCCUUUAUCAGGGGGAUAACGCAUCGAAAGAUGUGCUAAUACCGCGUAAGACCACAGCUUCACAUGGAGUGGGGGUCAAAGAAGCAAUCCGGAUAAAGAUGGGCUCGCGUCCGAUUAGCUAGUUGGUGAGAUAACAGCCCACCAAGGCGACGAUCGGUAGCCGACCUGAGAGGGUGAUCGGCCACAUUGGAACUGAGAGACGGUCCAGACUCCUACGGGAGGCAGCAGUGGGGAAUAUUGGGCAAUGGGCGAAAGCCUGACCCAGCAACGCCGCGUGAGGGAAGAAGGGUUUCGGCUCGUAAACCUCUGUCC